ensembl:snoRNA U8 U8 small nucleolar RNA
UCAUCAGGUAGGAUAAUCCUUACCCUAUCCUCCUCCAGGAGGGCAGACUGGAACAUGAUGAUUGUAGAUUGCAUGAUGCGUGAUUAGCGUCUCUGUGUGAAAAAAAAAGAAAAAGAAAAUCACAGCUCUAU